CACAUUUUUACACAUUAAUGUAUUCCCAGAGUUCAAAUCACUGAUCCUGUUGAAGCAGAUGGGGACUUCCUUGUUGUUUGGGCUGUCCUAGGACUCCUGGACUUCAGUGAUCCUCCUGCCUCAUCCUCCUGGGUAGCUGGUACUACAGGCACAUGCCACCAUGUCCAGUUUUAUUCACUGGUUUUUUUUAAAGCAUAUUUAUCAUUUAGUAUAUUUACAUGUACCCAAUAUGUGGAAUUUUUUUUCCAAAUUCAUAACUCAUUUACAUUCUACCUAUUUGGAGUGUUUAUUUUUUGCAGUGCUGGGGAUGGAACCCAGAGUUUUAUGCAUGUCCCUUUUGGUUUCUUAAUCUUGCCUAUUUUCAAACAGAGCAAGAAUAGCCAGUGUUAAAAAACUAUCAGAACUAAUCCUAUACACAUAUAGGAUUAACAAAAACUGGAGUAACACAAUCUGUUUUGAAUAUUUUUAUUCUACUUCGUUGUUUGAAUGUUUGAGAGAAAAUUUAGAACCUCCAAAUAAUAUAGCUACAUAAUACAUACAAAGUCUGGCAUGCUUCCUGGGUAUGGUGGCGGACCAGGGAGCCUGAAUCAGGAAGACUGCCACAAAUUCAAGGCCAGCCUGGGCUACAUGGUGAGUUCAAGGCCAGCCUGAACUGCAUGGCGAGACCCUGUCUCAUCACCGCCAAAAAGAAAUUCUGGAAUCAACAAUUUUCAAAGAAAACCCUCUUGAAUUGCAAAAUAAUAUUAAUUUGUGGUUUUUGUUUCUAUUUUUAAAUUUUUGUACUGGGUAUUGAACUCAGGGCCUUCACAGUGAGCUACAUCCCCAACCCUUUUUGCUCUUUGUUCCUUUUUUUUUUUUGAGACAGGUUUUAAGUUGCCCAGUUGGGACUUGAACUGGCAACCUUCCUUCUUCAGCCUCCCAGAGUGCCGUUAUGAUAGGCCUGCACCAUCCUGCCCAGCUCUCAACCUAUAAGAUGUUUACAGAUAACGUUUAAUGUGUUUCCUGGCUUGAUCUUGCUUUUUAAAGUAAUGCUGAGGGCUGGGGAUUUAGCUCGGCGGUUCCUGCGCCUGCCUCGCAAGCUCAAGGACCCGAGUUCGAUCCCCGGUACCAAAAACAAAACAAAAUAAGAACAAUAAAGUAAUCCUGAAUGCUUUAUUAAGGAAUUGUUUUUUCUCUUUUUGCAAUACUGGGGAUUAAACUCAGGGCCUUGCACCUUAGGCAAGUGCGCUACUACCGAGCUACCCCCCAGCCCUGUCUUGCUCAUUGCAGUGACUCCAAGGUAGCAGGGGAAGGUGGUGAAGUGAGUUUCUUUCAGAUGAAGAAACGAGGUUCAGAGCGAUGAGCCCAGAGUGCCCAGCAUCUCACGAGCCCCGCGGCAAAGAGCGCACAGCGGUGCUGUAGGCAGGCGCGGUGGUGCACACCUGUCCUCCCAGCAUGCUGCAGCGUCCGCAGGAGGACGGCAAAUUCAG
rnacentral:lncRNA from 1 species